CCUACGGGAGGCAGCAGUGAGGAAUAUUGGUCAAUGGACGCAAGUCUGAACCAGCCAUGCCGCGUGCAGGAAGACGGCUCUAUGAGUUGUAAACUGCUUUUGUACGAGGGUAAACGCAGAUACGCGUAUCUGUCUGAAAGUAUCGUACGAAUAAGGAUCGGCUAACUCCGUGCCAGCAGCCGCGGUAAUACGGAGGAUUCAAGCGUUAUCCGGAUUUAUUGGGUUUAAAUGGUGCGUAGGCGGUCGGAUAAGUUAGAGGUGAAAUCCCGAGGCUCAACUUCGGAAUUGCAUCUGAUACUGUUCGGCUAGAGAGUAGUUGCAGUAGGCGGAAUGUAUGGUGUAGCGGUGAAAUGCUUAGAGAUCAUACAGAACACCGAUUGCGAAGGCAGCUUACCAAGCUACUUCUGACGUUGAGGCACGAAAGCGUGGGGAGCGAACAGGAUUAGAUACCCUAGUAGUC
rnacentral:rRNA from 1 species